rnacentral:RNase_P_RNA from 1 species
AAGUCAGUCCGGGUAAUUGCUGCACUGUUUAACGGUGUAGAGGAAAGUCCGAACUUCAUAGAACAGGGUGCCGGGUAACUUCCGGGAAUUGUAAGGGAAAUCUUACGAUUACUGCCAGUGCCACAGAAAAUAUACUUCCCCGAUUUAUCGGGGUAAAGGUGAAAAGGCGGGGUAAGAGCCCACCGCUCCAAUGGUAACAUCGGAGGCACGGUAAACCACACCCGAAGCAAGGUCAAAUAGGGAGAUUGUUUCCCAAUAUUAUUGGGAAGCGGGGUUGUUCGCUCCGAUAGUCUCCGGGUAGACCGCUUGACCCGGUUGGUAACAAUUGGGCCAGAUAAAUAAUUGCCGCCCCGAUUUUUUUCGGGAUACAAAAUUCGGCUUACAGGACUAAAUUAUUC